CUUUUGAGUAGUAUCAUGAUUUACCAAGGGGUUAUUAAAAAAAAAAUAAAGACGACAAAAAGUCAAACAAGUUCAUUAAUAUUUCGUAGAAGAGCUCACGAUGAUCUCCGGUGAUCCUGUUCCACUGUGACACCACUCGUGUCGCUAAUUAUUACAAAUUCAGUGACAAGUCUCAUUCAGGAAUGUCACAAUCGAGCAAAAGAGGAAUUAUGGUUUAUGGCUACUAGUACAAUAAAUUUGAACAUAUCAGAAUUUCGAACACAGAUAUUCCAUAACGGUCACCACCUUGUACCGGUCUUUUUUCUGUUUUAUAUCUUGAAUUGACAUCAGUAUGUACUUAUAAAAAAGAAGAUGUGGUAUGAUUGCCCAUGAGACAACCCUUCAUUCAGAGUCCACUUCGUUUGCACCUAA
rnacentral:lncRNA from 1 species